CUCCUGGAUCCAGGUGUACCAAUUUCAGGGCCACUGCUGAGUUUCAAAAUGGCAGAAAGCAGCUACAACUCUGGCAAACGGGAAAAGAACUCCUUGCAGCUUCCUGCCUUCCCCAUAGCCUCUUCAAGAAGGAGGAAUGCAGCACAAGUAACCCAAGGCAGGAGAGAAAGAGAGAUGCUGGAUGUAGGCCAGUCUUUGGAGUUGAAGUGAAGCCACUCAACAGGACAAGGUCAGCAAACAAAAUCCAGCAACAUCAGAAUUAGCAGCAAGACAAUAGCUCCUAAGACCUACAAUAAUAGAGGUGAGAACUCAAAUCUUCAUUGGUAGUCAGCACAGAGGGUGUAACAGAGCUCAUCCUCCUA